UACGGGGGGGCAAGCGUUGUUCGGAAUUACUGGGCGUAAAGGGCUCGUAGGUGGCCAACUAAGUCAGACGUGAAAUCCCCAGGCUUAACCUGGGAACUGCGUCUGAUACUGGAUGGCUUGAAUUCGGGAGAGGGAUGCAGAAUUCCAGGUGUAGCGGUGAAAUGCGUAGAUAUCUGGAGGAAUACCGGUGGCGAAGGCGGCAUCCUGGACCGAGAUUGACACUGAUGAGCGAAAGCCAGGGGAGCAACGGG
rnacentral:rRNA from 1 species